rfam:Gossypium hirsutum cultivar TM-1 chromosome 8, whole genome shotgun sequence
AUUCCAUGAUGAUGACACUUUUUCAAAGGAUCCUUAAAUUACUCUUAUGCAUCAUAUAAUAUCUCCAAAUCAAUUUGAGUAAAAGAAGAGAUGUCGUUCCUCAACUU